UUCAGACGAUGCGUCAUGCAUAUCAAUAAGCGGAGGAAAAGAAACUAACAAGGAUUCCCCUAGUAACGGCGAGUGAAGCGGGAAGAGCUCAAAUUUGAAAUCUUAAGGGGUUUCCCUUUACGAAUUGUAGUUUAAAGAAGUGUUUUCUGUUGAGGUUUUGGUAAAAGUUCUUUGGAAUAGGACAUCAUAGAGGGUGAGAAUCCCGUAUUUGACCUUUACUUUCAACCUUGUGAUACACUUUCAAAGAGUCGGAUUGUUUGGGAAUGCAGUCCAAAGUGGGUGGUAAAUUUCAUCUAAAGCUAAAUAUUGGCGAGAGACCGAUAGCGAACAAGUACCGUGAGGGAAAGAUGAAAAGAACUUUGAAAAGAGAGUUAAACAGUACGUGAAAUUGUCAAAAGGGAAGCGUUUGACACCAGUGUUGUUUUUCUGAAAAUCAAUUAAAGAACUGUUUAUGCUAAGCUGUUUAGACUUUAUCAGCUAUCUGUUUAGUUUUGAGCUUUUCUUUAAUGCACUUUUCAGUUAACAAGUCAACAUCAAUUUCUUUUGCUGUAAAAAAGCUUGAGGAAGGUGGCUUGAGAUUCGUCUUAAGUGUUUAUAGCCUCUUGCCUAUGCAGUCGGAGAGAUUGAGGUCUGCAGCGUAGAUCCUUCGGGGCUAAAUGCAUUUGUGCUAAGUUAUAGCAUUUCAUAGACAACUUGUUGACUAUGAUUUGUCUUGUAGCUUACUCGCUUAUGUUAUUUUACCUACGCUUAGGAUGUUGAAUCUGUGCGAGACUAC
rnacentral:rRNA from 1 species